GAUGAAGAACGUAGCGAAAUGCGAUACGUAAUGUGAAUUGCAGAAUUCAGUGAAUCAUCGAGUCUUUGAACGCACAUUGCGCCCCCUGGUAUUCCGGGGGGCAUGCCUGUCCGAGCGUCAUUGCUGCCCUCAAGCCCGGCUUGUGUGUUGGGUCUCGUCCCCCUUCCCGGGGGGACGGGCCCGAAAGGCAGCGGCGGCACCGCGUCCGGUCCUCGAGCGUAUGGGGCUUUGUCACCCGCUCUGUAGGCCCGGCCGGCGCUUGCCGAUCAACCAAAACUUUUUUCCAGGUUGACCUCGGAUCAGGUAGGGAUACCCGCUGAUCUUAAGCAUAUCAAUAAGCGGAGGA
rnacentral:misc_RNA from 1 species